CAGAUAAAUUUCAUUCGCUGUCACUUUUCUUUCCCCAAGAGUAAGGAAUGCUAUCUGGGUCUUACUUGGAUAAGAGAUAACCGUUGAGAUACUGGAUUAGAAGCACAACCAGAUGCCCCACAGAGGUCAAGGAGGUUCUGACGAGUGGUUCUCUGAGGACCAUACAUAAAUGUGAAUGACUAACCAUAUCUCUGAAGAUAGACUCCUGGCAAAGAAAGGUUCUUGAACUUAAACAACGGAGCUUGAGUAGAAGCUUUAAAGAUUGAAGCUGUGAGAGCUUUCUAAGGAACUGAGAAAACUCUUAAACACUUGUUAAAUGAAACAGACUACUCAACUGCAAGUAUGACUGAAAGAUUUUAGAGCUGAUCUUUUCCUAAGAUGAGAGUUGGGACUGUAUAUAUGAGAAUUAUUUUGUUUUUCAUCAUCACCAUCUAAUCAGGAACCAGUAAGAUAUUUUCCAUAACUGUGCAAGAGAAAGAGCUCUGCUGGUGUAUAUGAUCAGCUUUCUCUCUUCUGGGCUCUUUCCUGUGCCCCAGAUUCUCCUGCUGUUGGGACUACCUUCUCAGAGGUGGGUUUAUUCCAGAAGUGGUAUGUGCAGCUGAUGAGCAGUACACAACAAAAUACUGCAAAUCAUAUCUUUCUGGGACAAUGAAACCAUACACUUGCCAUCAUGCACACAGAUGAGUAAGAGCAGAGUAAAAUACAAUGUGAGCUGCUGACAUAGUGAAUCCCAAAGUCAAGAUCAAAGUCAACGUUUGCAACCAAGAUGAACGUGUAGUCUUGUAUUCCACAUAGCUGGCUUUGAAGAUGGAAAAAAUACAGCUGUUACCAUUGCUGCAGUUAGCUCAAAGCUGUGGGGUCCUGGAUGUUGACGUCAUAUCCUAGACCAGAUUGUAGCAGCAACAAUCAAGAACUAGAGCAGUCCCCUUUGACUGUUUCAGGGAGCACUGAUUGUUCACUUUGUUCAUGAAAACUGUGAAGAAAAGUUAUCAACUUCCUUGUGUUUUGGUGAAAGUGGAGGAAUGUAUGAAAAAAAUCUCAGGAAAAUGAAAAGAAGAAACUGGAGGGAAAAGAUUUUGCGAGAAAAAUCAACUUUGACUUAUUUCUUCAGAUUUUCAGUGAACAAGUUGCAUUACGCUAUGUCAGUAGAGGUUUUACUUGCAGAAAGAGGAAAAAUAAGUUAAGUAAUCAGCAUGUAUUUAUUGUGUUUAGCUCUCUAUGCUUCAGGCAAUCAAAAAUAACAUCAAAUACUGUAAGAAUUUUCUCUCUUUUCAGUGCUUCUCUUGUCUUCUUAUAAUUACAAAUAACUUUUAUACAGGAAUUUUUGCUUUUACUCUAUCUGAAAUAUUGGAAGCAUGUAGUCUUGCCUGAAAAAUGCUGACAGAUGUAAUAGCUAUAUAGGUAUAAUAGCAAUAGGUAUAAGAAAGUAAGACUUUCUUAUAAUGUGCUGUUCUUUUUAUUUUUUUUCUAGCUAAUUGCUCCAGUCUAGUAGUCUUUGAUAUUAUCACUAGGCUUGGGAUAUUUUAUUAGUGCAAAAUAAUAGCUGCUGAAGUGGGGGGCUCAAUAUGUAUUCUAAUGCUUUGAUUUAAGCAUAUUAUUUAAAUGAAGAAAAUUAUACAAUUUCUUUUGUUUACCUUAAGAUAUUGUUUCACAAUUAAAUUAUUUACAAUGUCAUUUUUGUUUGUUUUUUUUUUGGUUUUGUUUGUUUUGUUUUUGUUUUGACCUUUAUUUUUAUUGGCUAAACUUGUCAGUGUUCCUGCUUCCCUGGACCAAUUAACAUCUUCCUUUCACUUAUUUAGUGAAAGAUUUACAUCCUUCAGUAGCAGGUUGUUAUUUUCCUAAGCCAUUCAUUUGUAAUUUCUAUUUUAACCAAGGUAUAUGUGCCUUCCUUUUUCUCUGUUUCAAAAACUACUUUCAUAUGUUCACUUGGUGUUGCCAUUUUUUGAGUUCUUUGAAUUGUUAACAGCUUCUUAGCAAGACAAUUGUAGGGCUACACAUGGGAUCUCUGCCAUGCCAUAUAUGCAAUUACUGUCAUGGUAUGCAGCUUGAUAUUAAAAUCUAAGAGAUUUAUUUGCUGGCUAUUUCACUUAAGAAGUUCAUUGCUAGUUCUAUUACAAGUCUUUAAGUACCUUCUUUCCGUUAAAUACCAAUUUGUGUUAGUUUUAUAUCAUGGAUCAAUUCUUAUGAUAUUGUAGAAUUAAUGACUAAUGGAGUGGGCCUUGUGAAAAAUAAUUUAUUCAUGUUUCACAGGAAACACAGUGUAUUUCUUGGUGCGUAAGAUAUUUUAAAAUAAAAUUAAUAAUAAAUAUUAGGAAAUUACCACAGAAUAUUUUCAAGGUUUGUGAAAUUUCCCUGAUGGUAUAGUCACCUGUUUUUGUUUACACUCACACCACUGGAAUUUUGAUUUCCUGAGAAUAAUUCUUAGAGGCUAGAAUCAGGUGCUUUAUUUUAGUCAUUUAGUGUAUAUUAAUAACUUUAUUUUCCUAAUUAGCAUGCACAGUAGGAUAGGCAAAAGAAUAAUAAAUAUUUAUACUAUUCACGACCUAUUUCUCCCUGUUCCAUAGGUAUUCAAAUAUUUAUUGAAUCAUUUAAUGAAAGUUUUGAACUACAUUACAACUGUCAGUAUUUGAGAUUUUUUAUUUUAUUUUUUUUUUUACUUUUUUAUUUUAAAAUAAAAGCCAAGCAAUGAGAACUUCAGCACCUGCCUCACUUCAAGUACUACAAGUACUGUUCGGUUCCUCUGACUUCAUUGUAUGUUCUUGAUUUAGGGAAGUAUUUAUACUCUUUAUAAGACUGGCUCACUUGCUUUAAAAAAAUAUAUAUUUUUUAAAAUUUUUUUUUCCAUGGUGCACUAACAGUUUACACAAAUAAUAGCAUCUGGUUCCAUAUGUAUUUAUUCCUCAGAAAAUAUAUUUUCUUACAACUGUUCUAAAGGAAUAACAUCCUUAGGCUAAGCUUCAGGCUGAGGGUUUCUUUGAAAAAUCAUUUUUGAAAAAAACGUUUAUGGAUUUUCUGUGAGGUUAACUCUACUCUUUGGGUGGAACUCUGUAGAAUAGUUGAAUCUGUGCAUUAGUGGAAUUUAGGGAAGAGCUAAAAAGAUUUUUUUGUUAUCAAUUUUGAAGGAGAAUUUUCAUGAUAGUCUGUGAACCAAGGCUAUAAUGUCCUUCCUAAUGGUCCUGUUCUGCUUGAAAACACUGAAGGUAUUUAAAUCAAAGAAAAGUUUAGCUUCUCUCAGGAUUGUGAUAUCAAGAAAAGGAGUGCCUAAUGCCAUGGACUGAUUGGGAAAUCCGAGCAUUUCUGGAAAAUAUGAACUUCAGAAUCAUUGCAUAAUCUUGAUCUUCUUGCAGUGCUCAGUAGACGAGGCAGCAAUUUUCUGUCUUUGUUAAAACAACUAAAAUUACUUCUGUUCUAUUUACAAAGCAGCACCAGAGUGAAUGGAUGUUGGCUUUGGACCAACCCCCUAUUUUCUUAAAACUCUGACAUUUUUAAUAUGAUAGGGAAGACCUUUAUUUCUGCAUCUUCCUGCCCCUCGACAUAUCCAACUUUCACCCAUUUGGUCUUCCCAACCCUAGUUGUUCACCACUUGACACACUUUCUAUAAAAUUUGAGAUUAUGGUAACUUCUUAUUCACCGAAGCUAAACCUCUGUUCCUGUCUACUCUUCUGUAAUGAGCUGUUGUACUCAAAUACUGUCAAAGGUUAUGGCUUUUUUUUUCCUGUCUAGAAGCAAUCUUUGUCACUGAUAAAAAUAAAUAGACAACUUGUGUGGCAACAGAGCAUAAAUUCAGAAAUUCAUUGUGGUCUCUGAGCACAAAAUCCCAAUGGAAUCAAAGUGGGCCUGGAGACUACCAGAUCAGUGAACUAAGAAGCUCUUUGCUUCAUCAGCUCUCACAUUUCUCAAGCUUAUCAGUCAAUCAAGUACUCUAAGUACAAAUGCCUCUAAACUAGAAGAUGAAAUAUGCACUAAAUGCUGAAAAAACUCUCCAUGUGCUUUUUCCUUGAAGGCAACAGACUUGAGAUUGGCUGUAUUCAUGAUACUUUCAACAUGACUAGAAGAAACGUACUGAACAAGUCCUUCUAAAGAUUUAGUCCUCUUUUGCAGAAGUAAAAGAAUCAGUUAAGAUUGAAAUGAAGGGAUGUAUUGGAAAACAUACCAUAGGAGAAAGAGAAAAUAAGAGAAAAGAAAGAAUAACGUAUAUAUUUAAAAAUAAUAAUGUCUCUUAGCUGUAAAAUCAUCGCACCUACAUGCCACCUGUACCACCCACAUCGUAGCAUUAAAGCCUUCUGUCAAUGAUUCAAGUUUUCUGGUUGAAAUGAUAAAUUAAGGUAUUAACAGAGCAUUUCUGCACCUUCGGACAACAGACUAUGAAUAGGAUGGUGAAAGACAAUCUCUUAAAAUGUCACAGCUGUUUUUACCGUCUGUCUCAUUAAAUUUGGUCACCUUCUACAAAGCAUGUUAUUUUUAACAGCUAUUUCACUCAGGAGGAUUGACAGUGCUGUGGACACCUGCUGUGACCAAGGAAACCUUCAAUGAAAUGGGAGAUUGAAUUUAAUACAAUAAUGCAGUAUGGAUGACUCAUCUGACAACAGUUCUGCAGGAGUACUGUUGGGUGGUCUCAGCAAUAGCUCAUAGAUUAUACACCAAAGAAGGGGAAGAACAAAGGAUACUGUCUGUCCUAAAGAGUUAAUAAUAUAAAGAUGGACAGAAAGAAUCAUUGACUAAAACAGACGUAUGGAGGGGAACAAAAAAGCAACAGGAGUGCACUGAUAAACACAAAACCAAGUGGUUUUUGAACAGACUGCAACCUCUAUGCUGUCACAGCUAAGAAUUUCAGACCCUUUUUCUAGAGUCUUCCCCCUACUGUCAUAAGAAACUGUUUAGAUGAGUAAUUGAAAAUGAACACAAAGCAGACAUGAGUUGAAACAAGAUGAAUGUCUUCAGAAUUUGAUAGGUUGUAUACUGACAAUAUGUUAUAACAUGCUUCUAGAUCAAGUCCUUCUAGUUGUAAAUGUGCAUUUUAAAAUCAUCAUGAUAGACAAGUCUGUGUUUCUGGAGAGGAAAGCAACUAAUACAGACAAAAGCUGAGCAAGAACUGAAUAAAAUGAUGACUGUGCAAGUACUUCUCUCCUGUAGCAUCAAGCAGACAAACACACAGGCGCUUUGGCAUGGCACAUCUGAAAUUGCUGUAAGUUUCUCCCUUGAAGUGUUAACUGAAAAUACAUAUUAUAAUGUUUAAGCUGUAGAAAUGCAAUGACAGUGAAAUCAACUACAGCACUCAAUAUGCCUGUAACUGCUGACCUAAAAAAAAAAAAAAAAGCCUUAAUGUAAUAACUCUCAGGUACUGAGUAUAUCUGUUCUCAGUGUCAAACCUUCCAAAAGAUCAAAAGUCUGCGUUGAUUCUAUGGAAUCAUUGUAGAACAUUAUCACUAUAUAAAAUGAAAAUUCUUUGCUUAUCUUUGCUUAGAGAGGCAGUAUUUUAUUAAGGUGAUGCAAUAU